rnacentral:misc_RNA from 1 species
UAGCGUCUGAAUUUACAAGUACGCAGUUCACCACCAGUGGCGCUUUGAUUGCUACCGGCAAACCGGCGCCGGCGUCAUUUCUUUCCCGUCAUUCAUCGCAUUUCUUUCAUUUGGUUGUCCGUGUAGAAUUCCGGCAAAAAUUCAACCGUGAAAGAUGGAUGGUGGAGGAAUGCGUGGUAGAGGAGGCUACUCCAGAGGGAUGAGCCGAGGGGACUUCACAAGAGGCCGUGGUGGACCCACCAGAGGCCGCGGUGGACCGCCUGGUGCUUUCCGAGGUGCGCCACGAGGAGGCGGGGAAUUCCAAGGGCAUGGGCGGGGUGACUUCACACCACGAGGUCGCGGAGAUUUCUCACGAGGUCGGGGUGGUGCUGGUGACUUCUCUUCGCGAGGCACUGGAGAGUUUGUCCCCCGAGGUCGGGGCUUUACGCCGCGUGGACGUGGGGGGCCUCCCACACGUGGUGACUUCACACCAAGGGGCCGUGGAGACUUUGCACCAAGAGGUCGUGGGGACUUCGCACCAAGGGGCCGCGGGGACUUCGCACCAAGGGGCCGUGGAGACUUCACACCAAGGGGCCGCGGUGACUUCGCACCACGGGGCCGCGGAGACUUCGCACCAAGGGGCCGUGGAGAUUUUGCACCCCGUGGAAGGGGUGACUUCAACACUGCGAGGGGAGGUGGCUUUGUGGGAGGACCACCUGUAGCUGGUGGACCACCAAUGCGUGGAGGGCCUGCCUUAAGGGGAGAUGCCCCACCGGGAGUUGGCCAUGGCAUGCUACCACCACGUGGUGGCAUGGGGGCUGGAGGACCACCUGCUAAGCGGGGUCGCUGGGAGGGACCCCCGAAUACGGGAGCUUCCUAUCAGGACAACUACUACAACAACGGAGCAAGCCAAGAUUAUGGUAACACUGGUGGCUAUGACGAUGGCUAUGGACAAGCACCUGUCAGUCGGAGCACCUACCAGGACUCGUAUGCAGCACCUUCAGACAUGAUGGGCAAUGGCUAUCAGGGUCCCGGAGUUGGAGUAGGUGGCAACGCAGGCGGCUAUGGCGAAGGUGCUGGUGGCUACAACACCGAUUACAACAAGCCCCCAAUGGAGAGGGGAGGUGGUGACUUCAGAAGUGGUGGUGCUGGCUAUGCACCCCCCGUUGGUGGCGUCGGUGGCGGUGGCGGCUACGCCAGCAGCUACGACGACAGGGGUUAUGGGGGAAGGCAAGAUGGUGGCUACGGGGGAGGACGCCCAGCGGCUGACAACUUCAGUGGAGGUUGAAGCACCUUUCCUGUGAACGAGUGAGCAUCAAUAUUCUAUAGGGAUGUGCAUCAUUGGUGGAGAGCCAAUUGGAACUGAGUCCCACUGCACAUCAGAACUGGUAAGGCAACAUUGUGUGAUGGCAGCCUGUCAACCAUGUUGGCCUGGCAAGGUCCCCAAGACCGGCAAUGGGCACAAGUCCCCUGUAGCACCUUAAUUGCUCGUGUCAAAAAUAAAGAUCAUAUGGAGGUUU